UACGUAGGGGGCAAGCGUUGUCCGGAAUCAUUGGGCGUAAAGCGCACGUAGGCGGUUCGUUAUGUCGGAUGUGAAAGCCCUUGGCUUAACCGAGGAAGUGCAUCCGAAACUGGCGAGCUAGAGUACGAAAGAGGAUCGCGGAAUUCCCGGUGUAGAGGUGAAAUUCGUAGAUAUCGGGAGGAACACCGGUGGCGAAGGCGGCGAUCUGGGUCGAUACUGACGCUGAGGUGCGAAAGCGUGGGGAGCAAACAGG
rnacentral:rRNA from 1 species